GGCUCCUUUUCUCAAAGGGUGCUGUGAUCUCACUGGUCAUGUGAGCAUGCAUGCACUUAUCAAGCAAGACCAAUUCUGAAGUAAAAGCAGGUUGCUGAGAGAAAAGCAGAGAUGUUCCCAGGAACUUGUUACGCCUACGGUGAGUCAGAGACCUGAGGAGUGAUGGACGGAUACUGCAUUUUUGGAUUUGUGUAGGAUCUGAUGCCAUUUUUCCCCAGUUAAAUCACAAUUGUUUACAGACUGGUCUAAUU
rnacentral:lncRNA from 1 species